GGACCAUUAGCUCAGUUGGUUAGAGCGUUCGCUUGAUAAGCGAAAGGUCACUGGUUCAAGUCCAGUAUGGUCCA
rnacentral:tRNA from 1 species